UAAGAACGUUUGUUUUCCUUACCUUUCUUUGUUAGCCAAUACCCUUAGCCCCAUUACAACCCUUAAACUUUAAUCUUGGUUGUUGUGUAUUUCAAUAUGUGGAGUUUGGGAUUGGUAUGAGCAUAUAGUAUCCCUGGUUCUCGUGUAUAAGUAGUAGCAUUCCGUUCAUGAGAUCAUAUAUAUAUACAUGCAUUAAUAAUUCCAGAAAGUGCUUUCUUCGCUUAUAACAUAUGUGAGUGUUAGUCUACAUAUUUACAUCAAUCUUCUCACAUAUACCUAGUAUAGGGAGUGUAGUCAGAAAUUCUGUGUGAAAAUAGAGUGUAUAUCCGGUGAGGAAUUGAGGGAAUUCUCUAAGGCAUGUUACUACAUUCAAAAUGUUGUUUUAUGUGAUUAAAUGCGAACUAGUAAGUGGUGACUGUGAUUAAGUAUGCGCUUGAGGGUAGGGAUAACUAAAAUCUAUGUGAGUAGUGAUUUUUAAUGUGUCAUGUUUCAUUGGAAAUCCCUGAGGCAAAUGUUGGAAGGUUUAGGUUAUGUUUUGUUUGUUUUGUUUCCUUUGUUUUGCUCGAGGACUAGCAAAAGCUAAGUGUGGGGGAAUUUGAUAGGAGCAUAUUUAUGCGACUUAGUUAGCUUGUUUUCUUGCACUUUUAU
rnacentral:lncRNA from 1 species